rnacentral:rRNA from 1 species
GGGUUAGUAGGUUGGUCAUGCCUCCGGUAUGUACUGGUCUCACUGAUUCCUCCUUCCUGAUGAGCCGUAAUGCCAUUAAUUUGGUGUUGCGGGGAAUUUGGACUGUUACUUUGAAAAAAUUAGAGUGUUUAAAGCAAGCUAACGCUUGAAUACAUUAGCAUGGAAUAAUGAAAUAGGACGUUCGAUCCUAUUUUGUUGGUUUCUAGGAUUGACGUAAUGAUUAAUAGGGAUAGUUGGG